UUAGCACACAAGUAGGUCAACCGCUAUCACGGUGACAGCUUUUGUUGACCUAAAUAAAAGAAACUUCCUUUUAACGCUAUAAUUUCUUAAUGAAAAGGUCGCAGGGGAAUUGACCAAGGUUACGUAACAGAGUUCAAGGUACAUAUGAACCAGCUAGAUAUUUGUUGAUUCAAAAGGUCACCUAUUUGUUAGUCAACUGGAACGAAAAGAUUGACUGACGGGAAGGUUAUGCUUCAGGCUGAGAUCCAGUUAUAGAAUAUGACCUGUACUGAAACUAAUGCCGCUGGUGAAGGAACACCUCCUUUUUGACCUUCCUUUACGUUUGUAUCGAAUUCUCUGAAAAAGGUCUGGGAUACUGAGAGAAUCAACAAUCAAAGGCUUUGUGGGCAUGUGUUCGCUUUUCAGCAAUGCUGAUACACCAUCGAUUGUGGUCGAACGGAUGGCGGGUGAUAUCUGCGCCGUUGCGGCAUCAAGCACUUCGUUGUCUCCAGAACAAGGCGAGUCAACAGACAGUUUAGCACCAGUCGAUGAGUCUGCUUUUUUUGGUUUGCGGAGAUUCUAGGUUCUCUGUUGUGAAUUCCGAUGGUCGCUGCGUGUAGACCAAAAUGAAGGGAAAGAGGCUCUGUAUUUUAGUUCGUGAAGCCUGUUUGGGGUGAAAGUUUGAAAAUAGGGUGUUGCCCUGGGCUCGAGGGAGCAGUAGUGAUAGUAUUUAGUUUAUUCCUAGUAUUUGUACUAACUGGUUCUGUUGCUCCUCUAUAUUUGAGAGAACGAAAGUGAUUCUACUGAUUUAUAAUGCUUUCCAACACAAACUCUUCUAUCCCAAAUCAAUUAUAUAUUAGUAGCAAUACAGAUAUAAGUUCGUUACCAUUUUCCUGCCAUAAAAAUAGUUCAACCAAAUAUAGCGCACUACUUUAAAUUGUAAAAUAAGAUUGCCUGGGGGAUCUUCGAAUUGCUUGUCUAUACUAUUAGUUUUCUGCUAAACACGUAGUUAUACUGGGAUAAAACGUAUCCUAGCGGCACAUACACGGAACCCUUACAGUCAGAAGGAUGAAUUCUCUAACGAAGGUUUUAGGUGAUAGACACUCCUAUAUUUGUACCCCAUACUUGUAAGCUUAUACGUAAAUGCGGACGUUGCCUCUACCAGGAAAUCUUAAAAAAGAGCCACGUCUGAUGCUGUAACUGUAGUUCGAACCGAAAUGCCACAUAAAACUCGGAUUGUACCAAAGUUUUGUUUUCAUAUUUAACAACAUGGAAGAUUGUCUUCGGGGCACAAUAUGAGUGCACAGUCAAUGCCUUCAAUCCAGCGUUCCUAGAUAAACAACCAAGCAGACGUAGCAUGCGGAAGUCGUGACGUCCUUAUACAUCUAUGCAUAUAUUUGUGUGCCAUGUAGACAAAGUUACGCAGAUUUAUGGUAAUACAUUUCUUACGUAAUGCUUCCUUAGCAUGCUUGGUUGCGCAAAUAUUUUCUCUGUUACGUGGAUGUGGAGAGGCGAGUCAGCUAUGUAGAUUUACUGGCGUUAAUGGUUCGGUCGACAAUCGUACACGCCAGUUAGUGCUUCUAACUAACACAGGUAGUAGGCAGGACGUGAUCGGGUCCUUUACCGCUUUCUUCAUUUCAUUAAAUUCGCCUACUUCAACUACAAGCACUGAACGAAAAACGUGGCUCAUCGGAUGUUACUUCAUUCGAAAGCAUAUCAGAAUUGUUGACAAAGAUCGUUAAUGAUUAGGAAUAGCUUUCGAAGAGCCAAAGGAAAUUUUUGAAGAC